rnacentral:tRNA from 1 species
GCAGAGGUAGCCAAGUCUGGUCAAAGGCGCAGGACUCAAGAUCCUGUCCAUUAGUUGGUUCGUCGGUUCAAAUCAAAUCUCUCGCG